rnacentral:rRNA from 1 species
AGUCGCACGGGACUAGUUGAGUAGUAAUACAAGGCUAGUUUAGUGGCGCACGCGGUGAGUAACAUGUGAAUUACAUGCCCUAUAGUGGGGAAUAGCCCAGGGAAACUUGGAUUAAUACCCCAUAGUCUCGCAAGAGUAAAGGUGGCCGCAAGGCUGUCGCUAUAGGAUUGGUUCGCACCCUAUCAGCUUGUUGGUGAGGUAAUGGCUCACCAAGGCUACGACGGGUACCUGGUCUGAGAGGACGAUCAGGCACACUGGAACUGAGACACGGUCCAGACACCUACGGGUGGCAGCAGUCGAGAAUAAUUCACAAUGGGGGCAACCCUGAUGGUGCAACGCCGCGUGGAGGAUGACGGUCUUCGGAUUGUAAACUCCUGUCAUCUGGGAGUAAGGCAUGGUCGUGAAUAGCGAACAUGAUUGAUAGUACCAGAAGAGGAAGGGACGGCUAACUUCGUGCCAGCAGCCGCGGUAAUACGAAGGUCCCAAGCGUUGUUCGGAAUCACUGGGCGUAAAGGGAGCGUAGGCGGCGUGGUAAGUCAGAUGUGAAAUCCCGAGGCUCAACCUCGGAACUGCAUCCGAUACUGCCAUGCUAGAGGAUUGGAGAGGUAGCUGGAAUUCUUGGUGUAGCAGUGAAAUGCGUAGAGAUCAAGAGGAACACUCGUGGCGAAAGCGAGCUACUGGACAAUUCCUGACGCUGAGGCUCGAAGGCUAGGGUAGCGAAAGGGAUUAGAUACCCCUGUAGUCCUAGCAGUAAACGGUGCACGCUUGGUGUGAGGGGAAUCGACCCCCCUUGUGCCGGAGCUAACGCGUUAAGCGUGCCGCCUGGGAAG